rnacentral:rRNA from 1 species
CUGAAUAACUACGCAAAUCGCUUAGGUUUUAAACCGGCGAUGUGUCCUUCAAGUGUCUGCCUUAUCAACUUUCGAUGGUAGUUUCUGUGACUACCAUGGUUGCGACGGGUAACGGAGAAUUAGGGUUCGACUCCGGAGAGGGAGCCUGAGAAACGGCUACCACUUCUAAGGAAGGCAGCAGGCGCGCAAAUUACCCACUCUCGGAAAGAGGAGGUAGUGACGAAAAAUAACGAGAUAACCCGCUCUAGCGAGUUAUCAUCGGAAUGAGUACAAUCUAAAUCCUUUAACGAGGACCUAGCGGAGGGCAAGUCUGGUGCCAGCAGCCGCGGUAAUUCCAGCUCCGCCAGUGUAUAUCUAUGCUGCUGCGGUUAAAAAG